rnacentral:lncRNA from 1 species
AAAACUGUACACAUCUCCUCAGAGCUUUACAUUCUGCUAUAAAACUCCCAUCGAUGCCUUAUAUGUUCAUGUCAAAAACUUCACAGCCAGCAACUCGGUUUACCUGGACUAGCUUUCCUCCGUAAACUGAAUUAUAGCUUCCUUUCCUAAUUAAAGAUUCCGUGAAAUUCUCAGUGACCUGAACUCAAUCCUUGUAGAAAACUUUACAGAAGUUCUUACUAGAAGAAACCAACGGUGAUUGCAUUAUGAAGGACUCUCUCUAUUGAAGUAUAAGGCAUCAUGAUAAUGUGAAUAGUGCCACGAAACCAACAAUGGGGAUACAUAAUUUAACCCAAAC